UAUUUCAACUGAAAAAGUUUUCAACAACAAAUUUGAACAACUCAUCAAGAUCUAAAACUUUUAUUUUGAUCAUUUCUUCAUCCGACAAAGUGAUAGUAACAUUGUUCACAAAAUUGACGUAUCCCUUAUCUGCUUUUAUAAACUAUAACACAUAUAUGUAAAAUUUGUGAACAAUGUUACAAACACUUUGUCGGAUGAAGAAAUGACAAAAAUAAAAGUUUUAGAUCUUGAUGAGUUAUACAAUUUUGUUGUUGAUGACAUUUUCAAUUGAAAUC
rnacentral:pre_miRNA from 1 species